rnacentral:rRNA from 1 species
ACGGGAGGCAGCAGUGGGGAAUAUUGGACAAUGGGGGAAACCCUGAUCCAGCGACGCCGCGUGAGUGAAGAAGUAUUUCGGUAUGUAAAGCUCUAUCAGCAAGGAAGAAAAUGACGGUACUUGACUAAGAAGCUCCGGCUAAAUACGUGCCAGCAGCCGCGGUAAUACGUAUGGAGCAAGCGUUAUCCGGAUUUACUGGGUGUAAAGGGAGCGUAGACGGCAAAGCAAGUCUGAAGUGAAAUCUAUGGGCUCAACCCAUAAACUGCUUGGAAACUGUUUAGCUAGAGUGCAGGAGAGGUAAGUGGAACUCCUAGUGUAGCGGUGAAAUGCGUAGGUAUUAGGAGGAACACCAGUGGCGAAGGCGGCUUACUGGACUGUAACUGACGUUGAGGCUCGAAAGCGUGGGGAGCAAACAGGAUUAGAUACCCUGGUA